rfam:Lentzea albidocapillata strain DSM 44073 genome assembly, contig: LX89DRAFT_scaffold00017.17
UUGCCAUCCGGAGCGACUGAGAGACCUGGCUCUACGACGUCGCAGCAACCACCCGCUGGAUGCGGGCAGGUGCUAACGCCAGGACCGAUGGAGG